UCUUUGGUGGUCUAGCUGUAUGA
rnacentral:miRNA from 3 species